UGUCUACCAAAUAUUUGGUAAAGGUGUGAGUGUGUGUUGUUGCUAUUUCGUUGCAAUUCGUUUUUUUUUUUUGUGGUAUGCGAUGUUGGAUGCUGGAAAAAACAAACGUGAAAAUAUAUUUACUUAUCUAUUGUGUAGUGGAUUUUUGUUUUAAACGGAGUUUCUUGCAAAGUAUUAAGUUUGAACUAAUUUAGUUCAUUAAUUUAUAACUUAUUUUUAUUUUGUACAUACAUAUUUUGUGAUUGUAUGGAAAAUAAUUAUGUUGAAAUACAGCUUUGGUGUACGAAUAUAUUGGAAAGAAAUGACGAAAAAGUCUAAAAAUACUUGCUGUCUUGCAAAAUUUCGCCAACUCGCAAUACCGACUGGAACCACGCAUUCUGCAAACGUUGACUUUGAUAAAAGUCGUAUUUCUACCCAGUGGAUCCAAUAAUAUGCUCGUGGUCAAUGGUCCUGCUCAAAUAAGUAUACUCUCAGCAUCAGUUUCUUAUAGAAGAGUGACUAAAAAGUCAGCCAAUGAUAAUAGCGGUAGACAAAAUCUUGCGACAAAACAAAGAAUUAGAUAUUUAAAUGAAAACGUGCUUAUGAUAUUUGAUCUGCCAAUAUUCAAAGGUGCAGUUCAUUUGUCUCAUUUAGAUGUAAACAGUUGGGGUAGUGUGGAAAAAGGAAUCUUAGUAAUAUUGUAGAUCGCAACUUAAAUUGGAAAAGUGGAUUCCACAAACUACACAGCAUGAGCGGAGGAUGUCUCUGUGAAUGCCCAGCCUUGAGCCGGAUGAGACGGGAGAUAUUUCACUCCAAAUCGACUGAGUAGCUGUAUAUGUCUUAAUUUGGUUAUCAUCCGAGAGCACAAUGCGCCUAGUGAUGGCCUAAGUACGGCCGCAUGCGGUAUGGCGCCUCUCUUUUUUCAAUCAACACACCAAACCAUUUACUGAUGCCAGUUUGUGAAAUUUCGCAUUGAUUUGCAUAUUUUAAAAAAUGCCAGGUUUAAAAAAAAA